GAUGAAGAACGUAGCGAAAUGCGAUAAGUAAUGCGAAUUGCAGAAUUUCCGUGAAUCAUCGAAUCUUUGAACGCACAUUGCGCCCAUUAGCAUUCUAGUGGGCAUGCCUGUUCGAGCGUCAUUUCAACCCUUAAGCCCUGUUGCUUAGCGUUGGGAGCCUACAGUACUGUAGCUCCCCAAAGUUAGUGGCGGAGUCGGUUUCACACUCUAGACGUAGUAAUUUUUUCUCGUCUGUAGUUGAGCCGGUCCCCUGCCGUAAAACACCCAAUUUAUCAAGGUUGACCUCGGAUCAGGUAGGAAUACCCGCUGAACUUAAGCAUAUCAAUAAGCGGAGGA
rnacentral:misc_RNA from 1 species